CCUACGGGGGGCUGCAGUAAGGAAUAUUGGACAAUGGGCGAAAGCCUGAUCCAGCCAUGCCGCGUGAGUGACGAAGGCCUUAGGGUUGUAAAGCUCUUUCAGCUGUGAGGAUAAUGACCGUAGCAGCAGAAGAAGCCCCGGCUAAUUUCGUGCCAGCAGCCGCGGUAAUACGAAAGGGGCAAGCGUUGUUCGGAAUCACUGGGCGUAAAGCGUACGUAGGCGGCGAAACAAGUCAGAAGUGAAAUCCCAGGGCUCAACCUUGGAACUGCUUUUGA
rnacentral:rRNA from 1 species